UGGGGAAUCUUGGACAAUGGGCGCAAGCCUGGUCCAGCCAUGCCGCGUGAGUGAAGAAGGCCUUAGGGUUGUAAAACUCUUUCGCCGGAGAAGAUAAUGACGGUAUCCGGAGAAGAAGCCCCGGCUAACUUCGUGCCAGCAGCCGCGGUAAUACGAAGGGAGCUAGCGUUGUUCGGAAUCACUGGGCGUAAAGCGCACGUAGGCGGAUAGUUAAGUCAGGGGUGAAAUCCUGGGGCUCAACCCCAGAACUGCCUUUGAUACUGGCUGUCUCGAGGUCGAGAGAGGUUGGUGGAAUUCCUAGUGUAGAGGUGAAAUUCGUAGAUAUUAGGAAGAACACCGGUGGCGAAGGCGGCCCACUGGCUCGGUACUGACACUGAGGUGCGAAAGCGUGGGGAGCAAACAGGAUUAGAUACCCCGGUAGUCCCUGAGCGGGCUGGCAAGGCGCAU
rnacentral:rRNA from 1 species